GACGGAGGCCCCGAGCGUUGUUCGGAAUCACUGGGCUUAAAGCGCGUGUAGGCGGGACGGCAAGUACCUUGUGAAAGCCCCGGCUUCAAUCCGGGAAUUGCUUGGUAUACUGCCGUUCUUGAGGCAGGUAGGGGUCACUGGAACCUUAGGUGGAGCGGUGAAAUGCGUAGAUAUCUAAGGGAACGCCUGUGGCGAAAGCGGGUGACUGGGCCUGUCCUGACACUGAGACGCGAAAGCGUAGGGAGCAAACGGG
rnacentral:rRNA from 1 species